rnacentral:rRNA from 1 species
UGCGUAGGCGGAUCAAUAAGUCAGUGGUGAAAUUCUGCAGCUUAACUGUAGACUUGCCAUUGAUACUGUUGGUCUUGAGUAUGGUCAAGGUAGGCGGAAUGUGUAAUGUAGCGGUGAAAUGCUUAGAUAUUACACAGAACACCGAUUGCGAAGGCAGCUUGCUGGGCCAAUACUGACGCUGAUGCACGAAAGCGUGGGGAUCGAACA